CCCAGGGUCUUUUAUUUAGGUUGCUGGCAUAGGGAAAGACUAGAAAUGGAAAUAUGGAGGUGGAUGAUAGUAUGGUGGGGGCUUCUUAGGAGGAGGCUUUAGAGGAGGGAGCUUCUUUGGUGGUGGUUUCAUGACUGGCGGAGGCUUUAGAGGAGGGAGCUUCGGAGGAGGCUUUAGAGGAGGGAGCUUCUUUGGUGGUGGCUUGUAGGAGAGGGGGGUCUCCUCUUGGAUCUCAUCCUCAGUAGUAGCAGGGUGACCAGGGUACUUCCCAUAAGGAGGCAGUUUCUUAAAUGGUGGUUUCUCAUAUGGUGGUGGCUUGUAAAUUGGAGGUGGCUUCACAAUGGGGGGUUUCUCAUAUGGUGGUGGCUUGUAAAUUGGAGGUGGUUUCACAAUGGGGGGUUUCUCAUAUGGUGGUGGCUUGUAAAUUGGAGGUGGCUUCACAAUGGGGGGCUUCUCAUAUGGUGGCUUGUAAAUUGGAGGUGGCUUCACAAUGGGGGGCUUCUCAUAUGGUGGCUUGUAAAUUGGAGGUGGUUUCACAAUGGGGGGCUUCUCAUAUGGUGGCUUGUAAAUUGGAGGUGGUUUCACAAUGGGGGGCAUGGGGGGCUUCUCAUAUGGUGGCUUGUAAAUUGGAGGUGGUUUCAUAAUGGGGGGCAUCUCAUAUGGUGGCUUGUAAAUUGGAGGUGGUUUAAAAAUGGGGGGUUUCUCAUAUGGUGGAGGCUUGUAAAUUGGAGGUGGUUUCUCAAAUGGUGGAGGCAUGUAAAUUGGGGGUGGUUUCUCUAGUGGGGGCUUCUCAUAUCCAGCAUUUGAGCAAGCGGUGAGAGCCACCAGCC
rnacentral:lncRNA from 1 species